CUUGUCCGAGUUCUCGCGGAAGACCUUGGCCACGCGGAAGCUCCGCAGCACGUUGUCGUCUCCAGAACAGAGUUUGCAUUUGCUUUGAGAAUAAUAUUGCCCUCCCGUGGUCAAACAGUGGCUGCGUUCCCCAUCGAAGGCAAAGAGACCCUGUUGACUCUCUCCUGGGCUGCCGUGGAGUUUGUGAUUAUCCAUUAACCGCUCGGGAUAACCGCCGGAACAGGGAGACCUCUGGACCUGCGGGCUCUCCUGGAGCGGGCCUCGUCCCCGAGCGGGAGAGGGGGGGAACGGGCAGUUAAGGUAAGAGCCGAGGACCAGCUCCUGGCCAGGAUGAGAAAAAUCCCUCGGGAUGGGAAUUUAACACGGAACGAGAUGCAGGAGCAGCCGGCGCCUGAUGCCGCGGUGCCCGCAGG